CAGCAGCCGCGGUAAUACAGAGGGUGCGAGCGUUAAUCGGAUUUACUGGGCGUAAAGCGUGCGUAGGCGGCUUCUUAAGUCGGAUGUGAAAUCCCUGAGCUUAACUUAGGAAUUGCAUUCGAUACUGGGAAGCUAGAGUAUGGGAGAGGAUGGUAGAAUUCCAGGUGUAGCGGUGAAAUGCGUAGAGAUCUGGAGGAAUACCGAUGGCGAAGGCAGCCAUCUGGCCUAAUACUGACGCUGAGGUACGAAAGCAUGGGGAGCAAACAGGAUUAGAUACCCGCGUAGUCCCUGUCUCUUAUUC
rnacentral:rRNA from 1 species